GCACACUCUGUCUCCAAGCCGGGAGGGGUGAGUAUUGCACAGGAUUCUGUGGAGGGAUAGAGGAUACCUUCUAAGGCUUCUUUGUAGACACUGAGUACCCAACUGAGAGAAGAAAUAAAAGAUGGUUCUUAGCACAGAAGAAAACACAGGCGUUGAUUCAGUCAACUUACCCAGUGGAGAGACUGGCCUAGGAGAGAAAGACCAGGAGUCUGUGAACAAUCUCUGCAGUCAGUAUGAGGAGAAGGUGCGGCCCUGCAUUGACCUCAUCGACUCCCUGCGGGCUCUGGGUGUGGAGCAGGACCUGGCCCUGCCUGCCAUCGCUGUCAUUGGGGACCAGAGUUCUGGGAAGAGCUCUGUACUAGAAGCACUGUCUGGAGUGGCCCUCCCCAGAGGCAGUGGUAUUGUCACCAGAUGCCCUCUGGUGCUGAAAUUGAGGAAGCUGAAUGAGGGAGAGGAGUGGAGAGGCAAAGUCUCCUAUGAUGACAUCGAAGUGGAGCUCUCUGAUCCUUCAGAGGUGGAAGAGGCCAUCAACAAGGGUCAGAACUUCAUUGCUGGGGUAGGUCUGGGGAUCAGUGAUAAGCUCAUUAGCCUGGAUGUCAGCUCCCCAAAUGUCCCAGACCUGACUCUCAUUGACCUGCCUGGAAUUACCAGGGUGGCUGUAGGCAACCAGCCUGCAGACAUAGGACGCCAGAUCAAGAGACUCAUCAAGACAUACAUCCAAAAACAGGAGACCAUCAACCUGGUGGUGGUCCCCAGCAAUGUGGACAUUGCCACCACAGAGGCUCUGAGCAUGGCUCAGGAGGUGGACCCUGAAGGGGAUAGGACCAUAGGGAUCUUGACCAAGCCCGAUCUGGUGGACAGAGGUACUGAAGACAAGGUCGUGGAUGUGGUGCGGAACCUGGUGUACCAUCUGAAGAAGGGCUACAUGAUAGUCAAGUGCAGAGGUCAGCAGGACAUCCAAGAGCAGCUGAGCCUGACUGAGGCUCUUCAGAAUGAGCAAAUCUUCUUCAAGGAACACCCUCAUUUCAGAGUUCUUCUGGAGGAUGGGAAGGCCACAGUGCCCUGCCUGGCAGAGAGACUGACCGCAGAGCUCAUCUCACACAUCUGUAAAUCUCUUCCUCUGCUAGAAAAUCAAAUAAAGGAAAGUCACCAGAGUGCAAGUGAGGAGCUGCAGAAGUACGGUAUGGACAUACCAGAAGAUGACAGUGAAAAAACUUUCUUCCUGAUCGAAAAAAUCAAUGCUUUUAACCAGGACAUCACUGCCCUAGUACAAGGGGAAGAGAAUGUGGCAGAGGGAGAAUGUCGCCUAUUCACCAGGCUCCGAAAAGAGUUCUUGUCCUGGAGUAAGGAGAUCGAAAAGAAUUUCGCAAAAAGGUUAUGCUGUUUUAUAUAAUGAAGUCUGGGCAUUUGAAAAGCAGUAUCGUGGACGAGAAUUGCCAGGGUUUGUGAAUUACAAAACAUUUGAGAACAUUAUAAGAAGACAAAUCAAAACCCUGGAAGAGCCAGCUAUAGAAAUGCUGCACACGGUCACUGAAAUUGUACGAGCUGCCUUUACAAGUGUUUCUGAGAAAAAUUUUUCUGAGUUUUAUAACCUCCACAGAACUACCAAGUCCAAACUUGAAGACAUCAGAUUAGAACAAGAAAAGGAAGCAGAGAUGUCGAUCCGACUCCACUUCAAGAUGGAACAAAUUAUCUACUGCCAGGACCAGAUUUACAGAGGAGCCUUGCAGAAGGUCAGAGAGGAGGAAGCUGAGGAGGAGAAGAAGACAAAGCAUGGCACUUCCAGUUCCUCUCAGUCCCAAGAUUUACAGACCUCAUCCAUGGCUGAGAUCUUCCAGCAUCUGAAUGCCUACCGCCAGGAGGCUCACAACCGCAUCUCCAGCCACGUUCCCUUGAUCAUCCAGUAUUUCAUCCUGAAAAUGUUUGCUGAGCGGCUGCAGAAGGGCAUGCUCCAGCUCCUGCAGGACAAGGAUUCCUGCAGCUGGCUCCUGAAGGAGCAGAGUGACACAAGCGAGAAGAGGAAGUUCCUGAAGGAGAGGCUGGCAAGGCUGGCCCAGGCUCGGCGCCGGCUAGCCAAAUUCCCUGGUUAAGCUGGCUCUGUCCUUCCCUGUGUUUCCUGGAUUGUGAUUCAGGGACAGAAGGGCUCCUGCCUUUCCUGGUAGCUAUACCACCAGCCUUUAUGCUCUGAUAAGUGCUAGCACUCAGAUUUGAAGGAGCUUUCUGCUCACUCUGAGAUGAGGAAGAGAAAGAGGCUCUCAAAGCUCAGCAAGUAGAUGGGUAGAGGAAGCCACUUUGCUAAUAAGACAACGGCUUCACCCUGAGUACUCUUCUUGCCCACCAUUUAGCACACUGCUAGAAAUAAAUAUUUGAUGUACAAAUGGGAGCUGCCUGUUGCAUUCCUUAAUAAACCACUUUUCUUUGA